UACGAAGGGGGGUAGCGUUGUUCGGAAUUACUGGGCGUAAAGCGUACGUAGGCGGCUUUGUAAGUUAGAGGUGAAAGCCCGGGGCUCAACUCCGGAAUUGCCUUUAAGACUGCAUCGCUUGAAUCAUGGAGAGGUGAGUGGAAUUCCGAGUGUAGAGGUGAAAUUCGUAGAUAUUCGGAAGAACACCAGUGGCGAAGGCGACUCACUGGACAUGUAUUGACGCUGAGGUACGAAAGCGUGGGGAGCAAACAGG
rnacentral:rRNA from 1 species